AGUGAACGCUGGCGGUAGGCCUAACACAUGCAAGUCGAACGGCAGCACAGUAAGAGCUUGCUCUUACGGGUGGCGAGUGGCGGACGGGUGAGGAAUACAUCGGAAUCUACUUUUUCGUGGGGGAUAACGUAGGGAGACUUACGCUAAUACCGCAUACGACCUACGGUUGAAAGCAGGGGAUCUUCGGACCUUGCGCGAUUGAAUGCGCCGAUGUCGGAUUAGCUAGUUGGCGGGGUAAAGGCCCACCAAGGCGACGAUCCGUAGCUGGUGUGAGAGGAUGAUCGGCCACCUGAGAACUGAGACAGGGUCCAGACUCCUACGGGAGGGAGCAGUGGGGAAUAGGGGACAAUGGGCGCAAGCCUGAUCCAGCCAUACCGCGUGGGUGAAGAAGGCCUUCGGGUUGUAAAGCCCUUUUGUUGGGAAAGAAAAGCAGCAGGUUAAUACCCCGCUGUUCUGACGGUACCCAAAGAAUAAGCACCGGCUAACUUCGUG
rnacentral:rRNA from 1 species